AUAACAAAGAAGAAGCAAUGGUCGUGCCAAAGAGGUCCACAACCAGGUGUGCACUGUUCACUGCAGCCCAUUUGCUGUAUGAACUGUGGUUGUUGUGUGCCCAAUGACAAGGCUACUAAGAAAUUCAUCAUUUGAAACGUAGAGGCCGCAGCAGUCAGCGAUGUUUCUGAAAUGAGCAUCCUUGACGCCUGUGUACUUCCCAGGCUGGAUGUGAAGCUACAUUACCAUGUGAGUUGUGCCAUUCACAGCACAGUGGUGAGGAAUUGAGCUCAUGAAGCAGGCAAGGACCGAACACCUCCACCCCAACGUAGACCUGCAGGUGCUGCCCCAUGACCUCCACCAAAGCCCA
rnacentral:lncRNA from 1 species